CUUCCCAACGCCGAAUCCCCAUUUCAAUUUGAUCCUAAUCCAAAAAACAAAAAAAAAAAAAAAAAAACCCUAGAAAUGAAUCCUCUCUAAUUGUUUCAAUGGGGAGCUUCAACAUUCUCCCCAAGGAGAUCGUGUUGCACAUUUUUACUCACUUACCAGCUGAAUCAUGGACGACAUCAUUUCCUCGACUCCACUUAACUCAUCUUCGUAAUUCCUCCAGUAAGUUGAGUUUGUUUCUCUUAAGUGGUAUCAACAGAGGAUUUCAAUAUUAACUGAGUACGAUUGUAGGAUUCCAAUUGAGAGUAGCUGAGUAGGCCAAUUACAAGGAUGAAGUUAAACCCUAUACCAUUUCAGUAUUAUGAAAUUGUUGGUUCAUUUAAUGGUUUGAUUUGUAUGUUAUGAUUGUGAUCUUGGUUUGUUGGAGCCAUAUGACUAUGAUCCUACUUAUAUCUGUAAUUCUAUCACCAGAGAGUAUCUUGCUCUUCAAAACUUGAGAUGCCGUAUACGAAAUUUAAGAAUCGUUUGUUGAGUGGAUUCAGUUAUUGUUCAUCGACUGGUGGUACAAAGUUGUUAGGAUCAGCAGGUUAGGUAAAGAAUCAGAUAUUAUACAUGUUGAGAUUUAUACUCUUGGCAGUGGUAAUGGUUGGCGAAAUUUAGGUAGUUAUGCAGAAGAGUAUUUUUUUUCUAAAUACAGUCGGUGAGUUUGCGAACGAGGCUUAACAUUGGAUUGAAAACAAAGGAAGGAUAGUGGCAUUUGAUUUGGUUAAUGAAAGUUUUCAUGAAAUUCCAUUACCACCAAUUUUGCUAAAUUGUAAUUGGCAGGGGAUGAUGGCUGUUGAAGUUGGGGUUUUAAGUGGUUAUUUGAUGUGUCUCCAUCUUGGAAGAGGGAGAUCUGUUGAUAUAUGGUUAUUGAAGAAGAAGGAGAAUGGCGGUGGUCUUUAUGACAUGAAAGAAGAGGUAGAUUACAGUUCAAUGAGCUGGAAUAAAGAGUUUAGCUUAGUUGGUUCUGAACCAUUUGCUUAUACAUAGAGUGGUGUAGUUCUGUGUUUCCAUACUAAUCUUGUAUCUACCAAGCUCAGUUGUUAUGACUUCAGAUCUUCGACUGAUGAUGUGCUUGGUUACUUUUGUCAAGAAAUUUCUCCACCACCAAUCCCUCACCUGAACACCUUGAUUUCAUUGAAAGGUUUAGGAGAGAAUAACACGAAAAUGAUGGAAUCAUUUAAAGUGGCAAUUCGUCUGCAAAGGAGCAAUUGAAAUGGUGAAAUUGAUACGUACAAAUACAAACAAAAGGGUUUCAUUCGGAGGUCGCUUCAUAAAUGCAUGGAAGCUUUUCUCGAAAUUAAAUAAUCUGGUGCCUCGAGUCCAUCUUUUGAUCUUGAGGGUUAUACAUGAAGGAACUGCGAUUUUCAAAGUUAUGGACUGUCACCCCCAGAAGAGGCAUCACUCUGCAAGUUAAGUAGGAGCCACCUGAAAAUCCGCGGAUCACUGAUGCUUCCUUCUUUUCUAAUACUGGCGCUUGUACUGUGGUGGCUAGGAAUUCUGAAGCAAAGUUUGAAGGUGGUGGAACUUGUGGGCACAAUUGUCUCUCCCCAUUGAAGGAUGAAACUAAAGCUAUUCUUCUGGCUUUGAUACUUGGCUGAGGAAAAGCUUUGGAAAGACUCUCACUGGAAGUGAUGUUGAAAAAGUGAUCAAGGUGCUCAACAAGGUGAUGAAGUCUUAUUGCAGAUCAGUAGCAGGGCUGAUUCCUUCAUCAGAGCCCAGUUCCAGUUUAGAAAGGUGCAAAUGAAGCUGCACGCUCUCGAGCAAGUUUUGCGUUUAAAGCCAUGGUGGUUAUCUCCUUCCCCUACUUGUAUUGCUAUGUGAUAGAGACUGUGUUCUCUUUUAGUUCUAUUUUUGUUUUUCUUUUGCAAAAGGAAAAAAAAUGUAGAAAAUAAAAACUUUGCAUAAUGGAUUAUAAAGUGUCGUAUAUACGCAUAUGCAAAAUUGCACUCCA